AGUGAACGCUGGCGGUAGGCCUAACACAUGCAAGUCGAGCGGCAGCACAGUAAGAGCUUGCUCUUACGGGUGGCGAGUGGCGGACGGGUGAGGAAUACAUCGGAAUCUACUUUUUCGUGGGGGAUAACGUAGGGAAACUUACGCUAAUACCGCAUACGACCUACGGGCGAAAGCAGGGGAUCUUCGGACCUUGCGCGAUUGAAUGAGCCGAUGUCGGAUUAGCUAGUUGGCGGGGUAAAGGCCCACCAAGGCGACGAUCCGUAGCUGGUCUGAGAGGAUGAUCAGCCACACUGGAACUGAGACACGGUCCAGACUCCUACGGGAGGCAGCAGUGGGGAAUAUUGGACAAUGGGCGCAAGCCUGAUCCAGCCAUACCGCGUGGGUGAAGAAGGCCUUCGGGUUGUAAAGCCCUUUUGUUGGGAAAGAAAAGCAGCAGGUUAAUACCCCGCUGUUCUGACGGUACCCAAAGAAUAAGCACCGGCUAACUUCGUG
rnacentral:rRNA from 1 species